rnacentral:lncRNA from 1 species
AAACAGAGGAAGUUUUCGCAUUCUGACUGCAGCCUGAGUUCCCCGGAGCAAGGCUGCUUCUCUCCACCCACUCCUCACCAAGAACUCCUGAACUUGAGAGUGGACGACUUCAAAGCUAGCUCUCACAGACUCACCUGGAAAAGAGUUCAGCUGCGCGUUCAUUGAACCGAGAGGCCAGAUCACCUAUGUGAGGCGGUGGGAACCAUAUGGAGAUUUAUAUUAGAACUUCAGCAAAGUGCACAGCUGCAGCCGGCAGAAGCCAGCUCUCGGGCUGACAGGCAAAUGAACCAGAUCGUGGACGGGGCCUCUGGGUGGCAGCUCCGGCCUUUUGGUUGUUGGACAACUAUAGUCAGAACUGAAAUGGAACAGGGGCAGGAGAAAUAACACACUUUUACUCCACGCAACUGUUGCUUUCACAUGAUCUUCAGGAAUGUAACUGGGAUAAUUGUCCAAAUUGAAUCCCAUACCCUGUCAUGCAUACCAGAAUAGGAGUCCUGUCUUAACUGAGCAAUAUACACUAUGGAGAGAUCCUUCAAAACCCGUCGGGACGAAUAACAGAUGAAUUCAUAAAACUGUUCAUCUCUGUUAUCCUGAAUGGUCACUCAGACAACAUUUUACUCAACUAUAAAGGGGAACACUUAAAGUGCAUAUGAGAAGAGAAGAGAAUGACCACAGGAGAAAAUCAUCUCAGGUAAAACGAAAAGGCACAAAUGUAGAGAGUAAUUAAUCUUAGAAUAUUAAAGAGAAAAUGAUUAUGUCUGUGUUUGGUAUAAGAAAUGGUCCUUCCCUUUAUGAAGCUACGUAUUUGGGAUUUUCACUGAUGGUUUUCCUUCAAGAGUUUACAGUAUUACUUGCCUUUGUCAACCUUUUGUUUGGUUUUGUGAUCAAUGCCCAGUGUCCAUCAUUCUGAGGACAUAUGUGUAUGUUGAUUUAUACAAUUCAGGUACAAGAUGGUUGAAUAGGAAGCUAUUUAAUGAAAAGGAAAAUAUGUUCUCAGUGGUUAUACAUUAUAAAAGGAAGUAAAAAUCUGAUAGAAAAGUAUAAGCUCAUAGUUUAUUUUUAAUCUUUUCCAUAUAUCUAGUAAGACAAUAAUGUCAAAGUAUAUUUUGUAGUAAUAAAAGCUACAGCCAGUGUUUCCUCUUUCUUUUUUUUAAACAUAAAAUGUAUAAAUAUAUAAGGAAAUACUUUUACUACAAUUGGAUGCAUGAUUGUUGAUUAUUUACUACAGUUUUAAUAAGUAGGAGAAUGAUUUGAAAAUAAAUAAUGGUGAAAAUUUGUGUAGGCCAAAUUAUCUGUAUUAAACUGGAGAAAAUACAUUCUAUUUUUAUUUAUUUCAAAACAUGCCAAAUCAUGAAGUAAUUACUAUGCAGUAUUAUUUUUCACAAUGAAGAUAUAAUUAAGAAAAGCUAAAUCAUUUUAGAUAUGAGUGCAAUGAUUAACGAUUGUACAACUUAUAAUUUUGCUUCAGAUGAGCUUAGAAUCCUAAAAAUGUACAUGUAACUGGCUUCAUGUGUGCUUACUGGCUUGCUUUCUUACAGUGUAGUAGCUGACAGAAUUAAGAAUCAUUUAUUUCAUUUCAACCUGUUGAACAGAGGAAUUAUAUGUAGCUGUGUAUUUUGUUGAAAGGAUAUAGUUCUUGGGAAAUAGAUUUAAAUGUGUUUUGUUGAAAGGGAAUGUAUGCUCCUUGGUGUGAUAUAAGCGACUACAAAUAUUCCAGAAUAGCAGGAAUAACACCGAUCAUGUCAUUGAUUUUAGGGUUUUUUGAUACCAUAUCUUUUCCUCACUGCUGUAAAAGUUUAAUUUCAUCCCCACUGUAGGCACAUGUCUGUACAUCUAGAAUUUGUGGGUUUUGUGUUCUUUACCUAGUCAACAAGACCUCAUUUGUUUAUAAAAAGCUAUAAUGUGACUAAAUCUCAAAAAUCAUUAACUGAGUUUUAUGUGAAUAAAUACAGUCACUCUAGUGCAUAUACAGUUUAAUAACUUCCUUUUUAGUUGUAGACUUAUCAUACUAUAUCUGUGCCUCACAACAGUAUAAUUCAUAUGUACAUAUAUUAGGUUCUCAAUUAGGACAUUUUAACAACAACGUUAAAAUAUUCACAGUUUAAAACAAAAGCAAUCUUUAAAAAAGAAAAAAUCAAGAAGAAAAGAGAGAAGUAAGAAAAGAAGAAAGGGAGGG